rnacentral:rRNA from 1 species
GAUGAACGCUGGCGGCGUGCCUAAUACAUGCAAGUCGAGCGAACAGAUGAUGAGCUUGCUCCUCUGACGUUAGCGGCUGACGGGUGAGUAACACGUGGAUAACCUACCUCUAAUACUGGGAUAACUUCGGGAAACCGGAGCUAAUACCGGAUAAUAUAUUGAACCGCAUGGUUCAAUAGUGAAAGACGCUUUUGCUGUCACUUAUAGAUGGAUCCGCGCCGCAUUAGCUAGUUGGUAAGGUAACGGCUUACCAAGGCAACGAUGCGUAGCCGACCUGAGAGGGUGAUCGGCCACACUGGAACUGAGACACGGUCCAGACUCCUACGGGAGGCAGCAGUAGGGAAUAUUGCGCAAUGGGCGAAAGCCUGACCGAGCAACGCCGCGUGAGUGAUGAAGGUCUUCGGAUCGUAAAACUCUGUUAUUAGGGAAGAACAAAUGUGUAAGUAACUAUGCACGUCUUGACGGUACCUAAUCAGAAAGCCACGGCUAACUACGUG